GUGGCGGACGGGUGAGUAAUGUCUGGGAAACUGCCUGAUGGAGGGGGAUAACUACUGGAAACGGUGGCUAAUACCGCAUAACGUCUCAUGACCAAAGAGGGGGACCUUCGGGCCUCUUGCCAUCAGAUGUGCCCAGAUGGGAUUAGCUUGUUGGUGAGGUAACGGCUCACCAAGGCGACGAUCCCUAGCUGGUCUGAGAGGAUGACCAGGCACACUGGAACUGAAACACGGUCCAGACUCCUACCGGAGGCAGCAUGGGGGAAUAUUGCACAAUGGGCGCAAGCCUGAUGCAGCCAUGCCGCGUGGAUGAAGAAGGCCUUCGGGUUGUAAAGUACUUUCAGCGGGGAGGAAGGUGUUGUGGUUAAUAACCGCUGUCUUGACGUUACCCGCAGAAGAAGCACCGGCUAACUCCGUGCCAGGACCGCGGAAAUACGGAGGGUGCAAGCGUUAAUCGGAAUUACUGGGCGUAAAGCGCACGCAGGCGGUCUGUCAAGUCGGAUGUGAAAUCCCCGGGCUCGCCUGGGAACUG
rnacentral:rRNA from 1 species